rnacentral:rRNA from 1 species
GCUUGUCUCAAAGAUUAAGCCAUGCAUGUCUAAGUAUAAGCAUUAUACAGUGAAACUGCGAAUGGCUCAUUAUAUCAGUUAUAGUUUAUUUGAUAGUCCCUGCUAUUUGGAUAACCGUAGUAAUUCUAGAGCUAAUACAUGCACCAAGCAGCCCUCACGGGUUGUGUAUUUAUUAGAUGGAAACCAAUGCGGGGCAACCCGGUAUAUGGUGAUUCAUAAUAACUUUCGGAUCGAUCUUCGGAUCGAUGCAUCAUUCAAGUUUCUGCCCUAUCAGCUUUGGAUGGUAGGGUAUUGGCCUACCAUGGCUUUAACGGGUAACGGAGAAUUAGGGUUCGAUUCCGGAGAGGGAGCCUGAGAAACGGCUACCACAUCCAAGGAAGGCAGCAGG